CUUCAAUUUUCUUUAAUUUUUACUCAACUACAAACGAAAAUCUUUUCACUCAAACCUCUAUAGAGGUCCCUCAAUCAUUUUAGACGUAUGCAGUAAUUGUGAAGACCAUCCAUCGGUAACUGGCUCGCACUGAAUCACUGGUUUUCUUACUUUCACUGCAUUUGAUACUGUUAUAUAUUACGAGUAUGUCAUAUUAAUUUAUCACAAACUAAAAAAGUGAUGACUAUAAAUCGCUACGGAAAUUAUCGUUCAAUUAACCUGUAAUUGUAAUUAUUGAGGCUUUCAAAUCUAUUUUAUAGAGGUAAAAUUCAUGACGAUAAUUGCUCGCAAUUUAUUAUUUUUUAUAUUUUUAAUUAUUUUUUUUCUAGCUUACUAAAAAACAAAACAAAAUGCACUACAAUCAUCUAUCAACGUUCCUCUAUAAGAAUCGAAGAAAAAAAUUUUUUAUUUUAAAUGUGGGGGGAUGCAAUAUUUUUUGGUGCCAAAAAAAUUUUUUUUGUACAACUACAAAAAAAGUUGUUGUCACUACUAUCAACUACUAACCAAUAUCUAUUAAAUGAAUCCAAAAAAAAACAUUUUUUCCAAAGUCGGGUGCCAAGUUCACACAGCCGAACAUUCAAAUAACAAUUAUAGUAAGAACACUAUUA